CAGAGGCUUGCGUGCUGGUGCAGUUUUUACAGUUUUAAUAUUAAAUGCAGCUUGCGCAGUCUUUUUCGUCUGCAUAAUAUUGUAGGCCGUUUUGCACUACACUGCAGGUUACCGAGACUACUGGCACUACAAAGUACAGAAUACACCUGAAUAUGAUCUUUCACUCUGCAUUGCUGGUAAUAUUUACGGGCUACUUUAUAAGGCACACAUCUGCAAGAGUUCGUAUAUGGCCACUGAAAAUUGGUAAUGACUCAUGUUAUUUUGGCGGAUAUUCUUUACCAAAUAAGGCAUGCCUCGACAUGUCCGAUCCUUGUUUAAGUUUGUGUUGCCGAACAAAAAAAUCCAUGCUUCAAAUAAUUGGGUGCCCGCUUCCACAGGGGUUUAGGGUACCAGCAAAUCCAGAGGAUUCAUUCUGGCCCUCAUGCUGCAGUAUAACGGCCGCCUCGCGGCGUCCGAAGCGCAGGGGACGGUCUUCAAAUGGUUCAACUACUCCACCGAGAAGAUCCAGACUGCGUCGAGAACUGUCUUGAAUUUUGUAAAGCUGACUUUCGCGACCUGAUACACAAAGGUGUUUCUUCGUUUACUUUCACAGAAGGAAAUGCGAGUAGAAAAAUAAAGCAAGUAGCGACAACAGAGCUAUAAGCCAUGCUACAUGAAGAACGUGUGGGAAAUCAAUCUUUUCGAUAGUUCUGUUGCUUGUUGUAAUGCGAAAUAUUUUUAUGUGUACUCACAAAAGCCAUGAUAAUAAUCAUAAAUUUAUUAUAAGAAAAGAAAUUGAGUGUGAUGAAUUUAGUCUUAUACCUCAAGAAACAGCAAUCCUGUGCCCCUCUUGUAUUUCUCAAGAUACCUUACAGUACUAAGGUAUGCGUCGCAGAUAGUGUAAGUUUUUUAACGGAAUAUUCUUUUUUUCUCAAAGCCUACAAAAGUUUGCGAAAUACAUGGCUAUAGAUGAGAUGUGUCUUCAGAAAUACAGAAUUUACAAAAAAGAACAGUAAAACAGAUAUUCCUUAGCUCAUCAACUACUACCAUUAUAUAUUACCUUGCUACCAACCUCAAAGCCCGAGUUUAUAUUGGAAAGAUGAAGGAAAUCUGCCUGUAUACAGAAAUACGUGGUGCCACUCUACUCUUUCCAUUUUCCUGAUUACGUACGCGCCAUAUGACACGCGUCUUGAUGUCAAGAACCUGUAUGGUGUAUAAGAGUGGUGUAUAAUAAAG